UACGUAGGGUGCGAGCGUUGUCCGGAAUUAUUGGGCGUAAAGCGCGUGUAGGCGGUCCGGUAAGUCCGCUGUGAAAGUCGGGGGCUCAACCCUGGAAAGCCGGUGGAUACUGUCGGGCUAGAGUCCGGAAGAGGCGAGUGGAAUUCCUGGUGUAGCGGUGGAAUGCGCAGAUAUCAGGAGGAACACCGAUGGCGAAGGCAGCUCGCUGGGACGGUACUGACGCUGAGGCGCGAAAGCGUGGGGAGCGAACAGG
rnacentral:rRNA from 1 species